GAUGAACGCUGACAGAAUGCUUAACACAUGCAAGUCUACUUGAUCCUUCGGGUGAAGGUGGCGGACGGGUGAGUAACGCGUAAAGAACUUGCCUUACAGACUGGGACAACAUUUGGAAACGAAUGCUAAUACCGGAUAUUAUGACUGAGUCGCAUGAUUUGGUUAUGAAAGCUAUAUGCGCUGUGAGAGAGCUUUGCGUCCCAUUAGUUAGUUGGUGAGGUAACGGCUCACCAAGACGAUGAUGGGUAGCCGGCCUGAGAGCGGUGAACGGCACAAGGGGACUGAGACACGGCCCUUACUCCUACGGGAGGCAGCAGUGGGGAAUAUUGGACAAUGGACCAAAAGUCUGAUCCAGCAAUUCUGUGUGCACGAUGAAGUUUUUCGGAAUGUAAAGUGCUUUCAGUUGGGAAGAAGUCAGUGACGGUACCAACAGAAGAAGCGACGGCUACAUACGUGCCAGCAGCCGCGGUAAUACGUAUGUCGCAAGCGUUAUCCGGAUUCAUUGGGCGUAAAGCGCGUCUAGGCGGUUUACGUAAGUCUGAUGUGAAAAUGCGGG
rnacentral:rRNA from 1 species